ACUCCUUCAGCUAGGCAUCUGUAAAGACCUAAACUGAUAAUUUAAAUGCAAAGUUCACAUUUCGAAGCCGGCGAUCAACAAAACUCUUGCCAAUGACAUCCAUCAAGUUGCUCAUCAGAUCACCACUCUCACCCUACUUCAACCCUCCCACAUUUCAAAUCUUUUAUAAAAUCCUGGGCAACCCAAAUUUUUUUUUUUGGAUUUUUUGACAUCUUCAACUGUAAUUGAUGAUCAGUCGGAGCAAUAAAGGAGCAAGUCAUGGGGCACCAUGUGUCUCCGGCCAAUCGGUGUCGACUAGCGGCAGCGUGGGCUCUCCUACAACCGGGAGUGAGGCGAUUGGCAACACUCCCCCAGUGAUAAGACUUCUUUUACAGUUGAUCAUGUAGAUGCUCAUGCUGGUGAUGUUGCAUCUCAAGCUACUUAUAUGUGAGUGCUUAAUUUGCUGUGUUUUUUGAGGAUUUUAUUGCAGGGAAUCGAGUGUGAUUGAUUUGCUUUUACAAUUGAGACCGGAUUCUAUGGUGAUUUGAUUAUAUAUUUUGAUUUUGGAGCAAUUUUGUGAUCAUUGGAUGGUAAUUAUUGAAUUUAGAAAAGUGAUUUUUUUUUCUGUGUUUGUUUUUGUGUUUGGACUAAUUACUACCGUCUGAGCAUGAAUUCUGCUAACUGUGUGUAUUAAGUGUUUUACUAUAUUCUUAGUUUUGUUGUGAUGAGACAGUGAAAAAAAAGGGGUCAACAAGCAGUCAGAGGGG
rnacentral:lncRNA from 1 species